UCACCCAAUCAAGUAGGCUUGGCUUUUAUUUUUGAAUACAUUUUUUAAACCAAGAAGGCUUUGACUUUUUUCCUGUAAAAUCCAACUUCGGCUACCCAGGAACAUUAUUCCACAAAAUCAGUAUUCAGCUCCCUUUCAAGUAAUUAACAACUAUUUUCCCUUUGGCAUCUUUUAUUUUUAAUCCAAAUUUAUAGUUAAAUUUUUAAAAACAUUUUUAUUUUUUCAUGUACUAAAAAACAAAGAUGUGGAGCUGAUAUUGUAGGACGCAGGCCGAGCUUCUCCAUGGCCAGAACACGCUACAGGGCUUUGGGCUUCUUUUGAUUGGAAGAUCUGCCUUAUAUUCUCAAACCGAGAAAAGGAUACACAAGAAGGAUCAGCUGCGAAUCGGACCAGGCUUGAAUCUUUGGCGUCGUCACCGGAUGUAGCUGCAGCUCCAACCGAUGAAGCUGCCAGGGAAAUACCAGAGGAAACUGAAGGAAGCGAGAUUUCUGCAACAUUAAAGGAUAUGCUUGGCAUCCGUCGGCUCUGCUUCUUUUGUCAGCAACAGCGUCAUACUUUUAAGGAAGAUGUGACCCGCCUUCGACCUCUAACUUGUGGUCGUAGUUUCCCCUAUCGUAUGCCUUUCCAAUCGCAUCGAGCCAGCGAUAUUGGCAGCUCUCCUGGUGCCGGCGUUGCAGUCGCUUGCCCUGUAGAGCAAGUGUCCUUUGAACGGCAAUGGACGUCUUGACGGCGAAAAAAUGCUCAAUAUCGAGCACUUGGUUAUCGCCAAGAUAGGCCCCACAGUCGAGCAGUAGCCCUAAUCUGGAUCGGGCACCUCUUGGCACACCUUGCAGAGCAUCUAUACAUUAGUUUCCAGCAACCAAAAGGAAAAUCUUCCCAGAAUUUAAUCCUGGUCCUUGCAUUUGGGAACUAAAGGAUUGACAUUAUUCGUUCGUCUAUUUAAUUUAAACAUUUUGUACACUCUUGGGAUAAUUAUUGUAGACUGAUAUUAAACAUUUUUAUUCUGAA